rnacentral:tRNA from 1 species
GCCGGAGUGGCGGAAUUGGCAGACGCGCUGGAUUCAAAAUCCAGUGCCCGCAAGGGCGUGUGGGUUCGAGUCCCACCUUCGGUA